rnacentral:rRNA from 1 species
GUACUGAGACACGGACCAGACUCCUACGGGAGGCAGCAGUGAGGAAUAUUGGACAAUGGGAGCAAUCCCGAUCCAGCCAUGCCGCGUGCAGGAAGACUGCCCUAUGGGUUGUAAACUGCUUUUAUACAGGAAGAAAAAGGUGUACGUGUACACUGUUGACGGUACUGUAAGAAUAAGGAUCGGCUAACUCCGUGCCAGCAGCCGCGGUAAUGCGGAGGAUCCAAGCGUUAUCCGGAAUCAUUGGGUUUAAAGGGUCCGUAGGCGGGAUGAUAAGUCAGUGGUGAAAGUCUGCAGCCUAACUGUAGAAUUGCCAUUGAUACUGUUGUUCUUGAGUUAUUGUGAAGUGGUUAGAAUGAAUAGUGUAGCGGUGAAAUGCAUAGAUAUUACUCAGAAUACCGAUUGCGAAGGCAGAUCACUAACAAUGAACUGACGCUGAUGGACGAAAGCGUAGGUAGCGAACAGGAUUAGAUACCCUGGUAGUCUACGCCGUAAACGAUGGUUACUAGCUGUUCGGGUUAAUUGAGACCUGAGUGGCUAAGCGAAAGUGAUAAGUAACCCACCUGGGGAGUACGUUCGCAAGAAUGAAACUCAAAGGAAUUGACGG